rnacentral:rRNA from 1 species
CUGGCGGCAUGCUUAACACAUGCAAGUCGAACGAGACCUUCGGGUCUAGUGGCGCACGGGUGCGUAACGCGUGGGAAUCUGCCCUUAGGUACGGAAUAACUCAGAGAAAUUUGUGCUAAUACCGUAUGAUGUCGAAAGACCAAAGAUUUAUCGCCUAAGGAUGAGCCCGCGUAAGAUUAGCUUGUUGGUGAGGUAAAAGCUCACCAAGGCGACGAUCUUUAGCUGGUCUGAGAGGAUGAUCAGCCACACUGGGACUGAGACACGGCCCAGACUCCUACGGGAGGCAGCAGUGGGGAAUAUUGGACAAUGGGCGAAAGCCUGAUCCAGCAAUGCCGCGUGAGUGAUGAAGGCCUUAGGGUUGUAAAGCUCUUUUACCAGGGAUGAUAAUGACAGUACCUGGAGAAUAAGCUCCGGCUAACUCCGUGCCAGCAGCCGCGGUAAUACGGAGGGAGCUAGCGUUGUUCGGAAUUACUGGGCGUAAAGAGUACGUAGGCGGUGAUUCAAGUCAGAGGUGAAAGCCUGGAGCUCAACUCCAGAACUGCCUUUGAAACUAGAUCGCUAGAAUUAUGGAGAGGUUAGUGGAAUUCCGAGUGUAGAGGUGAAAUUCGUAGAUAUUCGGAAGAACACCAGUGGCGAAGGCGACUAACUGGACAUAUAUUGACGCUGAGGUACGAAAGCGUGGGGAGCAAACAGGAUUAGAUACCCUGGUAGUCCACGCCGUAAACGAUGAUAACUAGCUGUUCGGGGUCUACGAUCCUGAGUGGCGCAGCUAACGCAUUAAGUUAUCCGCCUGGGGAGUACGGUCGCAAGAUUAAAACUCAAAGGAAUUGACGGGGGCCUGCACAAGCGGUGGAGCAUGUGGUUUAAUUCGA